UCCGAUGCUGUACAGAAAGCUCUUAUGACAUUGUUAAGGCAGAUCAAGACCUGUUUAACUGCUUGUUCAAGCAUAUCGGCGGUAACACCGAGGACCAAAGUGCGGAGAAAUUAAGUACAUGGGAGAGCAUUCGUGAAAGAAAAGGUCAUUGAAAGAGCUUAUAAGAAGCUUGCACUUGAUGCUUUGGUUAUCCAACAAGGGAAGACUGGCAGAGCAAAAAGCUAAGCUGUAAAUAAGGAUGAGCAACUGCAGCUGGUGAGGAGAUGGUUUUUUGUUCCAACGAUAGCAGUAUAGCACAAUCACAGAUGAAGAUAUAGAUAUGAUCAUCUUAAGGUCUCGAGAAGUAAAUAAUUCUAUUUGACCACUGUACAUUGCUAACAUCAAGAAAUGAAAUAAUCGAGUUGGGCCGCUAAAAUAGCUAAAGUAGUUAUAAAUCCUGUCAAUAAAAUAAGGCCUACAGAAAGUCCAUCUAUUCCCAAUCUCCAAUGGCAAUCAAAAAAUUGAUCCAUAUAAGUCUCCUCUAAUUGGAUUAAUGAAUCGUCCACCUGGAAAUGAAAACAAAAUGUAUAAGUCAUUGUAAGGAUUCUAAAAUACAUAUACAAAGUGUAUGUCAUCUAAUUACCCUAUUUCCUUUAUGGGGAAGAAAGAAAACGAUGGAACCUGCAAAUAUUGGAAAAACGACAAUUAUUGUUAGCAUAAUCACAGAUGAAGAUAUAAAUAGGACCAUUGCUAAAGGAGAAGAGGCUACGAACCAAGAUGAAGAAGUUUACAGAAGAUGCUAUCAAGUUUAAGAUGGAUACUUGUAUGCUUUUUUUCAAUUUCCCCCUCUCUGGGCUAAUUUAGAUCUCAUUUUAUGUAGCUGAGGAUAUCUAUGACUUUGAUGAUGAAAAGGUUAGUUGGUCUAUGAUUUUUUGUUUUUUGGGGUUCUUUCUCUGAUGCUAUUUUACUUGUUGCUGAUGGAGGAUGAAAAUAAGAUUUAUUUUAAGAAGAUUGCCAGUGAAAACUGGAUUGAGC